rnacentral:rRNA from 1 species
CAGUCGACGGCAGCACAGGAGAGCUUGCUCUCUGGGUGGCGAGUGGCGGACGGGUGAGGAAUACAUCGGAAUCUACCUUUUCGUGGGGGAUAACGUAGGGAAACUUACGCUAAUACCGCAUACGACCUACGGGUGAAAGUGGGGGACCGCAAGGCCUCACGCGAUUAGAUGAGCCGAUGUCCGAUUAGCUAGUUGGCGGGGUAAUGGCCCACCAAGGCGACGAUCGGUAGCUGGUCUGAGAGGAUGAUCAGCCACACUGGAACUGAGACACGGUCCAGACUCCUACGGGAGGCAGCAGUGGGGAAUAUUGGACAAUGGGCGCAAGCCUGAUCCAGCCAUACCGCGUGGGUGAAGAAGGCCUUCGGGUUGUAAAGCCCUUUUGUUGGGAAAGAAAUCCUAUCGGUUAAUAACCGGUGGGGAUGACGGUACCCAAAGAAUAAGCACCGGCUAACUUCGUGCCAGCAGCCGCGGUAAUACGAAGGGUGCAAGCGUUACUCGGAAUUACUGGGCGUAAAGCGUGCGUAGGUGGUGGUUUAAGUCUGCUGUGAAAGCCCUGGGCUCAACCUGGGAAUUGCAGUGGAUACUGGAUCACUAGAGUGUGGUAGAGGGAUGCGGAAUUUCUGGUGUAGCAGUGAAAUGCGUAGAGAUCAGAAGGAACAUCCGUGGCGAAGGCGGCAUC